GACGAACGCUGGCGGCGUGCUUAACACAUUCAAGUCGAACGGAAAGGCCCUGCUUUUGUGGGGUGCUCGAGUGGCGAACGGGUGAGUAACACGUGAGUAACCUGCCCUUGACUUUGGGAUAACUUCAGGAAACUGGGGCUAAUACCGGAUAGGAGCUCCUGCUGCAUGGUGGGGGUUGGAAAGUUUCGGCGGUUGGGGAUGGACUCGCGGCUUAUCAGCUUGUUGGUGGGGUAGUGGCUUACCAAGGCUUUGACGGGUAGCCGGCCUGAGAGGGUGACCGGCCAAAUUGGGACUGAGAUACGGCCCAGACUCCUACGGGAGGCAGCAGUGGGGAAUAUUGCACAAUGGGCGGAAGCCUGAUGCAGCAACGCCGCGUGCGGGAUGACGGACUUCGGGUUGUAAACCGCUUUCGCCUGUGACGAAGCGUGAGUGACGGUAAUGGGUAAAGAAGCACCGGCUAACUACGUG
rnacentral:rRNA from 1 species